CGAUGGAAACAGGUUAAUAUUCCUGUACUUCUGGUUACUGCGAUGGAGGGACGGAGAAGGCUAGCCAGCUGGCGUUGGUUGUCCAAGUUUAAGGUGGUAGGCUGAAAUCUUAGGUAAAUCCGGGGUUUCAAGGCCGAGAGCUGAUGACGAGUCGUCUUAGAUGACGAAGUGGUUGUCCAUGCUUCAAGAAAGCUUCUAAGCUUCAGGUAACCAGGAACCGUACCCCAAACCGACACAGGUGGUCGGGUAGAGAAUACUAAGGCGCGAGAGAACUCGGGUGAAGGAACUAGGCAAAAUGGCACCGUAACUUCGGGAGAAGGUGCGCCGGCUAGUGAAGGAUUUACUCCGUAAGCUCUGGCUGGUCGAAGAUACCAGGCCGCUGCGACUGUUUAUUAAAAACACAGCACCUGCAACACGAAAGUGGACGUAUAGGUGUGACGCCUCCCCGGUGCCGGAAGGUUAAUUGAUGGGGUUAGCGCAAGCGAAGCUCUUGAUCGAAAGCCCGGUAAACGGCGGCGCGUAACAAUAACGGUCCUGUGUAGCGAAAUUCCUUGUCGGGUAAGUUCCGACCUGCACGAAUGGCGUAACGAUGGCGGCGCUGUCUCCACCCGAGACUCAGUGAAAUUGAAUUCAUGAAGAUGCAGUGUAUCCGCGGCCAGACGGAAGACCCCGUGAACCUUUACUGUAGCUUUGCACUGGACUUUGAGCCUGCUGAGGAUAGGUGGGAGGCUUUGAAGCGUGGACGCCAGUUCGCGUGGAGCCAUCCUUGAAAUACCACCUGGCAUGCUUGAGGUUCUAACUCUGGUCCGUAAUCCGGAUCGAGGACAGUGUAUGGUGGGCAGUUUGACUGGGGCGGUCUCCUCCUAAAGAGUAACGGAGGAGUACGAAGGUGCGCUCAGACCGGUCGGAAAUCGGUCGCAGAGUAUAAAGGCAAAAGCGCGCUUGACUGCGAGACAGACACGUCGAGCAGGUACGAAAGUAGGUCUUAGUGAUCCGGUGGUUCUGUAUGGAAGGGCCAUCGCUCAACGGAUAAAAGGUACUCCGGGGAUAACAGGCUGAUACCGCCCAAGAGUUCAUAUCGACGGCGGUGUUUGGCACCUCGAUGUCGGCUCAUCACAUCCUGGGGCUGAAGCCGGUCCCAAGGUAUGGCUGUUCGCCAUUAAAGUGGUACGCGAGCUGGGUUUAGAACGUCGUGAGACAGUUCGGUCCCUCAUCUGCCGUGGACGUUUGAGAUUUGAGAGGGCUGCUCCUAGUACGAGAGGACCGGAGUGGACGAACCUCUGGUGUUCCAGUUGUCACGCCAGGCAUUGCCGGGUAGCUAUGUUCGGAAAAGAUAACCGCUGAGAGCAUCUAAGCGGAAACUUGCCUCAAGAUGAGAUCUCACUGGGAACUUGAUUCCCUGAAGGCCGUCGAAGACUACGACGCUGAUAGGCUGGGUGUGUAAGCGUUGUGAGGCGUUGAGCUAACCAGUACUAAUGCCCGU
rnacentral:rRNA from 1 species